rnacentral:lncRNA from 1 species
UCUUCUUUCUCCAUGGUAACAGAACCUUUCAUAGUUAACACCAUCACCUCUAGAGCUCAAGUGUUUCUCCAAAUAUGUUAUUGCUGGCUGAGUGUUUGUGAAGCCUCUUCUAUUGGUCUCCCACCAGCCUGGAGAGAAAUGGAAACAGAUGAUUUGGAGAGGCUGGGACCUCCACCAAGAAUAUACAGCCUGGGUGUAGAGACCGGGAACAGUGGUACCAAGCUUGCUCCUCUCUAGAAGAAGGUGAGAAAACAGUGUGCACAGACAACCUUUUUUUUUUUAUCCAUUUUCAUCUAGAAUGCUGAUUCAGCCAAGGGAGAGACAGUGGCAUUUGGGGUGAGGAUGGAGAGAUACGCCGGGAAACAUUAUUAAACUUCAUCCCAUACUGACUUCAGAAAAAAUUGGGAGUGGCAGCAGUGGGUAGAAGAUUAAAGGAGAAAUGAGACAACUAAUGGAGAGGCCUUGGACUGAGUCCAAGUAUGUCAUAGGAUUCUAGAUUUAGAGUUGAAAGAGACUUUACUUCACUUAGUCUAACCAACUCAUUUUAUGAAUGGGGAAACUGAGACCCUGAGAGAUGAACUUCAGUCAGUGGCAAAGUUGAAAUCUGAUCCUAGAUCUGCCUCCAAAUAAUCUUUUCCCCAAU